rnacentral:rRNA from 1 species
UACGUAGGGUGCAAGCGUUGUCCGGAAUUAUUGGGCGUAAAGAGCUCGUAGGCGGUUUGUCACGUCGGCCGUGAAAACUCGGGGCUCAACUCCGAAACUGCAUUCGAUACUGCCGUGCUUGAGGACUGGAGAGGAGACUGGAAUUUACGGUGUAGCGGUGAAAUGCGUAGAGAUCCCCAAGAACACCAGUUGCGAAGGCGGCUGACUGGACACAUAUUGACGCUGAGGCUCGAAAGCUAGGGGAGCAAACAGG